GUGGGAGUGAGAUUUCUUUCCGACAAGGGAAGAAAAACCAAGGAGGAAGAAAAAAAGAAUGCUUCUUGGGAGUUAGAGAACUGAGAUGCCCAUGGAGGUCUUAGACCUCGAAGCAUCUCAGAAGCUGCUCCUGGUCCCCGAGGUCCCAGCAGACCUUCUAGUGCAGGUGGAAGACGGGCGGUCCUGGCUGAUGUGGAUCACGUCCCCGUGCAGGCCGCCCUGGCGAUGUUGGCACUCACUGGGCCUGGAGGGGACAGAAACGCUCCCAGGAGUGUUCAGGUGAUCGUCAUUCUGGUUUGCCCAGACCCUCCCAGAUUCAGCACCUGAGAGUUCGGGGUCCCAGAAAACCUCUCAGUCCUGGACAGACCAGCAUGAUCCAUCACUUUACAUUGUUCUCAGGCAGCUAUUUUUUUUUUUUUGGAGAAAAUAGGCACAAAUACCUUUACUCAACCAUCUUAAUCUGAAAGUCCUGUCAGUCCCAUUAUUCAUGGUGAUUUUUUGUCUUUUUCUAGCUCUUUAUUAGUCAUUUGGAGUUGGGAGACACCAAUAGGGACUGCUGAGCAAACACAAUUUUAAGUCACAACCAGGGAGAAAUACUGAAUUCCCAGAGGUACAAUCUACCCCCCAAAAUUUUAUUCUCAGUAGAUAUAUUAGACAUGUGAGGCUGUAUUAAAAAUUAUUUCACAGAGAGAAGAUUUUGCUCUAGGAAUCAAAUUAUCCUUCAGAUAACAAUGAUUUUGUGA